rnacentral:rRNA from 1 species
GAUGAACGCUGGCGGCGUGCCUAAUACAUGCGAGUCGAGCGAACGGACGAGAAGCUUGCUUUUCUGAUGUUAGCGGCGGACGGGUGAGUAACACGUGGAUAACCUACCUAUAAGACUGGGAUAACUUCGGGAAACCGGAGCUAAUACCGGAUAAUAUUUUGAACCGCAUGGUUCAAAAGUGAAAGACGGUCUUGCUGUCACUUAUAGAUGGAUCCGCGCUGCAUUGGCUAGUUGGUAAGGUAACGGCUUACCAAGGCAACGAUGCAUAGCCGACCUGAGAGGGUGAUCGGCCACACUGGAACUGAGACACGGUCCAGACUCCUACGGGAGGCAGCAGUAGGGAAUCUUCCGCAAUGGGCGAAAGCCUGACGGAGCAACGCCGCGUGAGUGAUGAAGGUCUUCGGAUCGUAAAACUCUGUUAUUAGGGAAGAACAUAUGUGUAAGUAACUGUGCACAUCUUGACGGUACCUAAUCAGAAAGCCACGGCUAACUACGUG